UCGAGAGUUUGAUCCUGGCUCAGAUUGAACGCUGGCGGAAUGCUUUACACAUGCAAGUCGAACGGUAGAGGGGGCAACCCCUUGAGAGUGGCGAACGGGUGAGUAAUAUAUCGGAACGUGCCCAGUCGUGGGGGAUAACGUAGCGAAAGUUACGCUAAUACCGCAUACGAUCUAAGGAUGAAAGCGGGGGAUCGCAAGACCUCGCGCGACUGGAGCGGCCGAUAUCAGAUUAGGUAGUUGGUAGGGUAAACGGCCUACCAAGCCAGCGAUCUGUAGCUGGUCUGAGAGGACGACCAGCCACACUGGAACUGA
rnacentral:rRNA from 1 species